UACGUAGGGUGCGAGCGUUGUCCGGAAUUAUUGGGCGUAAAGGGCUCGUAGGCGGUUUGUCGCGUCGGGAGUGAAAACACCGGGCUUAACUCGGUGCUUGCUUUCGAUACGGGCAGACUAGAGGCAUGCAGGGGAGAACGGAAUUCCUGGUGUAGCGGUGAAAUGCGCAGAUAUCAGGAGGAACACCGGUGGCGAAGGCGGUUCUCUGGGCAUGUCCUGACGCUGAGGAGCGGAAGUGUGGGGAGCGAACAGG
rnacentral:rRNA from 1 species